UGUCCUUAUUUGCCAGCACAUAAUGGUGGGAACUCUAAGGAGACUGCCGGUGACAAACCGGAGGAAGGUGGGGACGACGUCAAGUCAUCAUGGCCCUUAUGACCAGGGCUACACACGUGCUACAAUGGAGCGUACAAAGGGUUGCUAAGCCGCGAGGUGGAGCCAAUCCCAGAAAACGUUUCGUAGUCCGGAUCGAAGUCUGCAACUCGACUUCGUGAAGUCGGAAUCGCUAGUAAUCGCGAAUCAGCAUGUCGCGGUGAAUACGUUC
rnacentral:rRNA from 1 species